GCAGGGUGUGGUGGUGCGCACCUGUAAUCCCAGCUACUUGGGAGGCUGAGACAGGAGAAUCACUUGAACCCAGGAGGCGGAAGUUGCAGUGAGCUGAGAUCAUGCCAUUGCACUCCAGCCUGGGUGACAGGGUGAGACUCUGUCUUUA
rnacentral:sRNA from 1 species